rnacentral:rRNA from 1 species
GUGAGGAAUAUUGUGCAAUGGAGGCAACUCUGACGCAGCCAUGCCGCGUGCAGGAAGAAGGCGCUACGCGUUGUAAACUGCUUUUAACCGGGAAGAAACCCCAGGACGUGUCCUGGGUUGACGGUACCGGAGGAAUAAGCACCGGCUAACUUCGUGCCAGCAGCCGCGGUAAUACGAAGGGUGCAAGCGUUAUCCGGAUUCAUUGGGUUUAAAGGGUGCGUAGGCGGAGCGUUAAGUCAGUGGUGAAAUCCUGCAGCUUAACUGUAGACUUGCCAUUGAUACUGGCGCUCUUGAGUGCGCUUGAAGUGGGCGGAAUGUGCCGUGUAGCGGUGAAAUGCUUAGAUAUGGCACAGAACACCAAUUGCGAAGGCAGCUCACUAAGGCGAUACUGACGCUGAGGCACGAAAGCGUGGGGAUCGAACAGGAUUAGAAACCCGGGUAGUCC